GACCCAUGAUUAUCCAGCCCACAUAUUAAUCAUGAAUCAUGAUUAACAUCAAAAAUAUUCCAAAAUAAUUGAUCAAGUACAAAAGUUAAAUUAUUCGAUAAUAAUGAACAACUGAUAGUGGAUUUAUGACUUAAUGUUGGUUUAGUGGAGAUUAAAAAUAUGCGGAAAAGACGGAGUUUUGGUCAAAGAAGGACCGGGGAACAAAGAAAUAACAGAACCAGUACGGCCAUGGGAUCGGUCUCACCAAUGACUGAUCUAGGACUCCUCAAACAACCCUCAUAAGCCACAUUGGCCGUGCCCAUCAGUCAAAUGCAGAUCCAAUAUCCCUGGAGCCAACUAAAUAACCCGCAUCGAUCAACCAUCAUGGUCAUAGAGCCACCGAUCUAGCCAACCAAACCAUCCGACCAGUAGCUACAUCGUUCUGCCAUAUCGGUCAUAUUUUUUUAUCGAUCCUAAUCACAACCCAUCUGAUCCAGAAGCUGCAUUGAUCCCAACAUCGGC